AACUGUAACUAUGGUGUGGUCACAGAAAAAAUGAUCUGCGCCGGGUGACGUGCUGGAGGGAAGGACUCCUGUCAGGGGGAUUCAGGUGGUCCACUGGUGAGCAAGCAGGGCAGCCGCUGGAUCCUGGAGGGAAUCGUAAGUUUUGGAAUUGGUUGUGCCAGGCCUAAUAUCCCAGGAGUCUACACCAGAGUGUCCCAAUAUCAGU